UAUUAAUUCUGUCAGUUAUGUCCAAAAAUUAAAUCAAAAUCAAAAUCAACAAUGAAAAAAGACUGACAAGAAAGGAAAAAAAAACCAACAUUCGUCCAAAAAGAAAAUAUAGAAACCACCUAUAUCGUCCACCACCAAAACCCACCUAUACCACAACUGGAUACCACCACCACCAUCAAACAUGCGAGCCUGACCACCCAUCACCACGAGUCCGCAACCGUCAUACCACCACCAUCAAACCCAUAACCAGCCACCGCAGACCCAAUCGAACCAUCAUCACCGCCUAAUUAGUCAAUCAAACCAUCACCACCACGCAUAACUAGCCACCACAUACCCAGCUCAACCACCAUCACUACCCAGUUGAACCAUCACAACCAUUAAUUAGUGGAACCAAAGAGAGGGGGUGAGUGUUUGCAGCCACUACAUACCUAGAAGUGGAUUUGGCUCUCUUAAAAGUUGGGGUGAGGCAUGAAGAGAGAGUGAAAAGGAGGGAAGGAAAAAGAAAAUAGAAAGGAAAGAAUAGGAAGAAAGAAAGAACAAAGAAGGGAUGGCCUAGGAAAAAAAGGAAGGAAAAAAAAAAGACACG
rnacentral:lncRNA from 1 species